rnacentral:misc_RNA from 1 species
UCUCCGUAGGUGAACCUGCGGAGGGAUCAUUACAGAGUUCAUGCCCUACCGGGUAGAUCUCCCACCCCAUGUUAUUAUUACUUUGUUGCUUUGGCGGGCCGUUAGGCUCCGGCCCGACUACCGGCCCCGGCUGGUAAGCGCCCGCCAGAGGACCCAAAACCCUGAAUAUUAGUGUCGUCUGAGUACUAUAUAAUAGUUAAAACUUUCAACAACGGAUCUCUUGGUUCUG